UACAGAGGGUGCGAGCGUUAAUCGGAAUUACUGGGCGUAAAGCGUGCGUAGACGGUUAUGUAAGUCAGAUGUGAAAGCCCCGGGCUUAACCUGGGAAUGGCAUUUGAGACUGCAUAGCUAGGAUGCGGAAGAGGGCAGUGGAAUUUCCGGUGUAGAGGUGAAAUUCGUAGAUAUCGGGAGGAACACCAGUGGCGAAGGCGGCGAUCUGGGAAGAUACUGACGCUGAGGUGCGAAAGCGUGGGGAGCAAACAGG
rnacentral:rRNA from 1 species